AACGAACGCUGGCGGCAUGCCUAACACAUGCAAGUCGAACGAGACCUCCGGGCCUUUGGGCGCACGGGGUCGUAAGGCGUGGGAAGCUUCCCUUGUGUACGGAAUAACUCUCCGAGAGGGAUGCUAAUACCGCAUCGUGUCUUAGCACCAAAGAUUUAUGGCCUUUGGUUGGGCACUCGUUGGAUUCGGUAGUUGGUAGGGUAAUAGCCAACCAAGGCGUGGUUCCACAGCUGGUAGGAGAGGAUGAUUACCCACGCUGGGACUCCGACACGGCCCAGAAUCCUACGCGAGGGAGCAGUGGGGAAUAUAGGACACUGGGGGAAGGCCUGAUGCAGCAAUGCCGGGUAAGUGAUGAAGGCCGUAGGGUUGUAAAGCUCUUUUACCCGGGAUGAUAAUGACAGUACCGGGUGAAUAAGCUCCGGCUAACUACGUG
rnacentral:rRNA from 1 species